rnacentral:lncRNA from 1 species
UCCUUAAUUGAUACUGCUUUCCCCUUUCCUCGCGCAUUUUUUCAUUACUCUCCACUUGUCACUGACUUUCCCGUCCUUCCAGCUUCCUAGAAAGUUCUCUCUUGCUGGUAUUUCAAGUUCCCCCUCAGGCUGGUAGGCUGUUCCACCUCACCUACCGAGUCCUUCCCACAGAAGCCAACCUCUGGGCGGAGCUCGGCACCUCUCAGAGCAUCCUCUCACCCUAUUCGAGGCCACCCGGUCACGAAGCCUGCUCUCGCCUCCUGAUCCAUUCCGCAGCACGACUGAGGGCCAGCACUUCCGCCCUCUUCGUUCACUAUUGCUGAAAGUGCUCUCCCUAGCACCCUGAGGACAGGAUCUGUGUUCCUCCCCUCCCCCUUUGUAAAAAUCUCCUUUAAUAUACCUAUACAAUUCUAGCAAAAAAGCCGGUACUUAAAACAUACUUAUUUGACUAGUCUGCAUUAUGAAAUCAAGGACUCUUAAUUCUCCAAGAUUUUGAGAACAUUUGGGGUGGGGGGAGCUGCUCUAGGAAAAGUCGCUAAACCAAUUCAAACUGGCAUCACAAUACGGUAAGUGAGCAUUUACAGACAGAGCUCGCCGUGGACAAUGUAUGCCAGGGUUGCCAAAGAAAGCAGCUUUAUGGUCUCCC